AAGGCUUCUCGGCCUUUUGGCUAAGAUCAGUGUGUAGUUUCUGUUCUUAUCGCUUCUCGGCCUUUUGGCUAAGACAGCGGUCCCCUCCUUUGGGUAGUGAUAGCGGUAGUCUUUGUGACUUGGCUGUUACCACUGAUUUAGAGGUUCAGUAAAUUUUGUCCCCGGUUGAGAUAUUGACCACUAAGUAGUGGAAAAUAUCUUUUACCUUUUAUUUGUAUUUAU
rfam:Xiphophorus maculatus strain JP 163 A Contig1898.1, whole genome shotgun sequence.